UACGUAGGGUGCGAGCGUUGUCCGGAAUUAUUGGGCGUAAAGAGCUUGUAGGCGGUUUGUCGCGUCUGCUGUGAAAAUCCGGGGCUCAACCCCGGACUUGCAGUGGGUACGGGCAGACUAGAGUGUGGUAGGGGAGACUGGAAUUCCUGGUGUAGCGGUGAAAUGCGCAGAUAAUCAGGAGGAACACCGAUGGCGAAGGCAGGUCUCUGGGCCACUACUGACGCUGAGAAGCGAAAGCAUGGGGAGCGAACAGG
rnacentral:rRNA from 1 species